CCAGACUCCUACGGGAGGCAGCAGUAGGGAAUCUUCCGCAAUGGGCGAAAGCCUGACGGAGCAACGCCGCGUGAGUGAAGAAGGAUUUCGGUUCGUAAAGCUCUGUUGUUAGGGAAGAAUGAUUGUGUAGUAACUAUACACAGUAGAGACGGUACCUAACCAGAAAGCCACGGCUAACUACGUGCCAGCAGCCGCGGUAAUACGUAGGUGGCAAGCGUUGUCCGGAAUUAUUGGGCGUAAAGCGCGCGCAGGUGGUUUAAUAAGUCUGAUGUGAAAGCCCACGGCUCAACCGUGGAGGGUCAUUGGAAACUGUUAAACUUGAGUGCAGGAGAGAAAAGUGGAAUUCCUAGUGUAGCGGUGAAAUGCGUAGAGAUUAGGAGGAACACCAGUGGCGAAGGCGGCUUUUUGGCCUGUAACUGACACUGAGGCGCGAAAGCGUGGGGAGCAAACAGGAUUAGAUACCCUGGUAGUCCACGCCGUAAACGAUGAGUGCUAAGUGUUGGUCUCAUAAGAGAUCAGUGCUGCAGCUAACGCAUUAAGCACUCCGCCUGGGGAGUACGACCGCAAGGUUGAAACUCAAAGGAAUUGACGGGGGCCCGCACAAG
rnacentral:rRNA from 1 species